CAGUCAGACAUGACUGAGCGACUGAACUGAACUGAAAGAGCUGCUGCUGGAGGUCUGAGCCGCCAUUCAAGCCCCGGGGUGAACUGUAGGGCUCCACCCCCACCCCCAGACGUGAGGCUUCAGACCUCAGAAGACACACCCUGAGGACUUCCGGGGUGUCCAGUGAUUAAGACUUCGCCUCACGUUGCCGUUGCCGUUGCCGGAGGUGUGGGUUCGAUCCCUGGUCAGGGAACUAAGAUCCUGCAUGCCUUGAGCCAGAAAACCAAAACCCUAAAGCAGAAGCAAUAUUGUAACAAAUUCAAUAAUGACUUAAAACAACAACAGAAAAAGGGAGACACACUCUGUGAGUUCUGGCUACAACGCUGCAAGUUCGGGAACCUAGGCAAUCACCAGGCAACGCUAGGAAGCAAGCACCCUGUCUAGCCUCCCUUUCCUCACCCAUAAAAUACCCAGCUUACGUGAUAAAAAGACAAAUGGUUAAGAACACAUCCAUCUUCACAGUCUGCAACACACUGCGCCACUUAAUACUGUGAUACAUCGUUUCCUGCUCCUCAUGGUUGACACGCUACAUUAGAAGGCAUGCACAGGAAAAUCUAUUGUAAAUUGCCUUUAAAACUACAAAUAUAAACCAUUAUGAUCAUUAAUGAAUAGGUAUGGAAGAAAUAAGAAAAGGAAUUUCUAAGUUGGUGGUGGUAUUAUUAUGAGGCUUUAUGGGGGCAGGACAUAAGACCUUUGCUCAGUCAAGUGUUUCAUGCAUAUUUUAACUACGUUUUAGGAGACAGAUCUGACUAGCUGUUUAUAACAGGAUCUUACAGUAUCCGCAUGCAUGGCUGAAUUACUACAGAAUACACACAUUUCUAUUUCUUCAACAUCUACGUGACAUACCUUUUUUCUUUGUGUUGUGUCUUAAGGGAAACUUUUUCUUAAAAGACAUUCGUGAAUUGUCUUCCUGAAAUAGAAACCGUCAGUGUUAGCAGCUGAAACUUUGUUCUCUGAACAUAAGCAAGAGCCCUUGGGACUGGAACAUUCAGCUACAACUGGACGCUGAGAACUGACGUUUGCAACAAAGGUCAGCCUGCCAGAGGUUGUCACACACGCAAAAACAGUGACGUGCCAAACCACACAGCCUGUGCUGGAGGGUGCCCACCUCUCCAUGGUCCACCACGGGCCGGCCUUAUGCUGCCUGGCCUGGGAGCCCAGACCAAGAUCAAGGAAGCCCACAGGUCACCCUGGACCAGAUAAGUUCCCUUAGUCCAGCUUCAGGGUCCAGCCCUUCUCUGUUAGACUCCAUACUGGAGACCAGGACCUAUGGACCCAGUUCACACUGAUUACCAAGUGUAACUGCUUUCCAUGACCAUCCUGUCCUCUCAAACAUCCCCCACAUCAGAAUGGCCCGGCUUCCCCUUGGAAUGUAAAGAGCUGCAAAGAGAAUCACUCCCAUCCGAAAAACAAGAAAAAGUCAGAUCAUCCAC
rnacentral:lncRNA from 1 species